rnacentral:rRNA from 1 species
CCAUCUGGAAGAAUCUGGAGACAGGUGCUGCAUGGCUGUCGCAGCUCGUGUCGUGAGAUGUUGGGUUAAGUCCCGCAACGAGCGCAACCCUUGCCUUAGUUGCCAGCAGUUCGGCUGGGCACUCUAAAGGGACUGCCGGUGUUAAACCGGAGGAAGGUGGGGAUGACGUCAAGUCCUCAUGGCCUUUAUGACCAGGGCUACACACGUACUACAAUGGCCGAUACAAAGGGCAGCGACACUGCGAGGUGAAGCCAAUCCCGUAAAAUCGGUCUCAGUCCGGAUUGGAGUCUGCAACUCGACUCCAUGAAGUUGGAAUCGCUAGUAAUCGUGGAUCAGCAUGCCACGGUGAAUACGUUCCCGGGCCUU